rnacentral:lncRNA from 1 species
CUUGUUGGAGAUUAGAAUAUAACAUUAGUAAACGGAUCGAGUAAUUACAAAUUAAACAUUGUUUGUAGCCACUAGCCUAGCUACAUGUCAUCCUAAGAAAAAUAAAAGGAAGGGUGUGAUCUAGCUCCGACAAGAGAAAAGAUCUUUAACUAACAUCUGAUACUCCACGAGCUGUGGCCAACACUAUGCGUACGCGAUUAUAUUUAUAGCUCCUGUAAGCGUGCUACGUCGUUCUUGAGUCGGCAAGGUGCCACAAGCAACUUUCUCUCCGCUUUUGGAAAAACUGCCUCAGCGCGGGCUUCGUUUCCUGACGUAGAAACAUAUUGCCUGCAAAAAGAAAGAAAAAAAACAGUCCAGCUGUGCUCCAGUCAAACAAAAAGAGAAGAACAAGUCACAAGUGUGUGUACUGGUACAUGUUUCUUACAAUUAAAGUACUCCAGUUUGAUGCGGAAGAAAAGUUAAGUUAGUUAACUAAAGAAUGGAGCUUUUUUACAGUUAUUGUAGAGGAUUCGAGGUGGAUCUAACACACUACGAGAGGGUUUAUUCACCUAUACCAACUACUUUGGUGUAGUUGAUUAGUUUCUUUUUAUUUCUACUUACUUAGUGCAAGCUUCCGGGCGGCAGAGCCACUCACGUUAAAGCAAGUUUUGAAUCCGGGCGGCUAUGCCACUCACGUUGAAACAAGACCGUUGUGAUUCCGGGCGAAUCCGCUCACGUUAAAUCACACUUAUAUGCACUAAGUAUUUAGAAAUAAUAAGGCCUAACCGGAAGACUUAUAUGAACAAAGUAGUACUAUAUUGCUUUAGAAAUAUUAGUACAAGACAGAGCAUACACACUUUACACUUGCUCACACCUUGUUCUCCAUCUUCUUCACUUUCUUAUUCUCUACUACACAAGGUGUGAGGCAAAAGUCUCUAUUUAUAGGACUACAUGGCCAUUGGAUCUUUGACAUGUGUCAAAAUCUUAGCCAUUGAUACAAAAUAUCUAAAGCCUUCCACACACUUCUACAUAAAUAU